GCCAGCAGGCGCGAAACUUUACAAUGUGCGAAAGCACGAUAAGGGAACUCUGAGUGCCUCCUAAGGAGGCUGUUCAGGUGUCUAAAAGCACCUGAAGGAAGGGCUAGGUAAGACCGGUGCCAGCCGCCGCGGUAACACCGGCAGCCCAAGUGGUAGCCACGUUUAUUGGGUCUAAAGCGUCCGUAGCCGGCUGGGUAAGUUCCUUGGGAAAUUUGGCUGCUUAACAGUCAAGCUUUCAGGGAAUACUGCCCGGCUUGGGACCGGGAGAGGUCAGAGGUACUCCAGGGGUAGGGGUGAAAUCCAUUAAUCCUUGGGGGACCACCGGUAGCGAAGGCGUCUGACCAGACCGGGUCCGACGGUGAGGGACGAAGGCUAGGGGGCGCGAACCGGAUUAGAUACCCCUGUAGU
rnacentral:rRNA from 1 species